CCUACGGGAGGCAGCAGUGAGGAAUAUUGGUCAAUGGACGAGAGUCUGAACCAGCCAAGUAGCGUGAAGGAUGACUGCCCUAUGGGUUGUAAACUUCUUUUAUAAAGGAAUAAAACGAGGCACGUGUGCCUUUUUGCAUGUACUUUAUGAAUAAGGAUAGGCUAACUCCGUGACAGCAGCCGCGGUAAUACGGAGGAUCCGAGCGUUAUCCGGAUUUAUUGGGUUUAAAGGGAGCGUAGAUGGGUUGUUAAGUCAGUUGUGAAAGUUUGCGGCUCAAACGUAAAAUUGCAAUUGAUACUGGCAGUCUUGAGUACAGUUGAGGUAGGUGGAAUUCGUGGUGUAGCGGUGAAAUGCUUAGAUAUCACGAAGAACCCCGAUUGCGAAGGCAGCUUACUAAACUGUGUCUGACAUUGAUGCUCGAAAGUGUGGGUAUCAAACAGGAUUAGAUACCCUAGUAGUC
rnacentral:rRNA from 1 species